rnacentral:tRNA from 1 species
GACGUAGUAGCCAAGCCAGAAAGGCAACGGACUGCAACUCCGUGAGCGUGAGUUCGAAUCUCACCUACGUCU